UUGAACGCUGGCGGCAUGCCUUACACAUGCAAGUCGAACGGUAGAGUAGCAAUACUCGAGAGUGGCGAACGGGUGAGUAAUAUAUCGGAACGUGCCCAGUCGUGGGGGAUAACGUAGAGAAAUUUACGCUAAUACCGCAUACGAUCUAAGGAUGAAAGCGGGGGACUCGCAAGGGCCUCGCGCGAUUGGAGCGGCUGAUAUCAGAUUAGGUUGUUGGUGAGGUAAAAGCUCACCAAGCCGACGAUCUGUAGCUGGUUUGAGAGAACGACCAGCCACACUGGGACUGAGGCACGGUCCAGACUCCUACGGGAGGCAGCAGUGGGGAAUUUUGGACAAUGGGGGAAACCCUGAUCCAGCCAUUCCGCGUGAGUGAAGAAGGCCUUCGGGUUGUAAAGCUCUUUCAGCAGGAACGAAACGGUCGGCUUUAAUAAAGUCGGCUAAUGACGGUACCUGCAGAAGAAGCACCGGCUAACUACGU
rnacentral:rRNA from 1 species